CUUGUUCUUAUUGGCUCUGUUUAUUGAAAACCGAGGAUCUUUGCUGUAACGUGACACUUCCUACGGCUCCCAUAGGCUCUCAGAACCCGGGAAAAAGCUGAAUGAUAUCGAGGCAGCCCCUGGCUGAAAAACAUUAGCGCGUUUGGAUAGUGGCCGGUCAGAGUACUAUGAGACUCAGGCUCGUGCACGAGGGGAUCCCAUGCUUUUAUUUUCUCUCUUUGAACGUAAACACGGUUUCCCGGUCGGAAUAUUAUCGCUUUUUUACGAGAAAAAUGGCACAAAAAUUGAUUUUAAACAGCGGUUGACAUGCUUCGAAGUACAGUAAUGGAAUAUUUCGAUUUUUUUUUGUCACGAAAUGCGUCGUGCGCGUGACCCUUAUUUACACUUCGGAUAGUGUCUUGAACGCACAAACAAACCGCCACUAUUUGGAUAUAACUAUGGAUUAUUUUGAACCAAACCAACAUUUGUUAUUGAAGUAGAAGUCCUGGGACUGCAUUCUGACGAAGAACAGCAAAGGACCUGAGCCCUAGGACAGUGCCUCAGGACUACCUGACAUGAUGACUCCUUGCUGUCCACCUGGCCCUGCUGCUGCUCCAGUUUCAACUGUUCUGCCUGCGGCUAUGGAACCCUGACCUGUUCACCGGAUGUGCUACCUGUCCCAGACCUGCUGUUUUCAACUCUCUAGAGACAGCAGGAGCGGUAGAGAUCCACUCAAUGAUCGGCUAUGAAAAGCCAACUGACAUUUUACUCUUGAGGUGCUGACUUGUUACACCCUCGACAACUGUGAUUAUUAUUAUUUGACUCUGCUGGUCAUUUAUGAACAUUUGAACAUCUUGGCCAUGUUCUGUUAUAAUCUCCACCCGGCACAGCCAGAAGAGGACUGGCCACCCCUCAUAGCCUGGUUCCUCUCUAGGUUUUGGCCUUUCUAGGGAGUUUUUCCUAGCCACCGUGCUUCUACACCUGCAUUGCUUGCUGUUUGGGGUUUUAGGCUGGGUUUCUGUACAGCACUUUGAGAUAUCAGCUGAUGUAAGAAGGGCUAUAUAAAUACAUUUGAUGUGAUUUGAUUUUGUAUGGGAUGCUGCCAUGUUAACUUGAGCUAGAAACCAAAGAGGGACUCAAUUGGAAUGUUACCUGUAGGAAUAUUCCCUGUUUGUUGGGAUGUACAUUUGCUGUCUUUAUCAGCCUGUGUGUGUGUUUGUGCAUGUCUCCCUGGGCCUGUGUAUUGUUUGCAGUGCGGUGCUGGGGGCUGUCUCAUUGAACAAUAUGAUCUUGUUGCCAUCUGAUGCACAUUGAUGUCAUAAAUCAGCACUGCAGAGCUCUCCUUGUCCUAGGCCGUGCCUUUAUUGUAUUACUGUUGAUGAUAUCUGGAAAUGUGCAUGUACACCCUCGCCCAUCUACUGUUGCUAGCCCCAACUCUAACUUGUGCUCAGAUAUCUGCUUCACUGAUUUCUGCUCUAGUAAAAGCCUGGGUUUUCUGCACGUUAACACUAAAAGCUUAUUACCUAAAAUGGAUCAAUUGAAAGUGUGGGUUCACAGCUCCAAUCCAGAUCUGUUGGUCAUUACUGAGCCGUGGUUAAGGAAGAGUGUUUUGAAUACUGAUGUUAACCUUUCUGGUUAUAACCUUUCUGGUUAUAACCUUUUUCGGCAAGACAGAUCUUCCAAAGGUGGGGGAGUGGCAAUCUUUACCAAGGAUCACCUUCAGUGCUCAGAUGUCUCCAAGUCUGUCCCCAAACAAUUUGAUUUGCUGGUUUUAAGCAUUGAACUUUCAAAUAGCUCUUUGUUGACUGUUGCUGGGUGCCAUCAUCCUCCAUCAGCACCGGCCUGUACCUGUCCUUCCCUAAGCUCUCUCCUGGCCCCUUACACUAAGUCUGAAUUCGUCCUGCUAGGUGACCUAAACUGGGACAUGCUUAAACCACCUGACCAAGUCCUGAAGCAAUGGGACUCCCUAAAUCUUUCAGAUUAUUACCAAUUUCACAAGCUAUGACUCCAAACAACCAGAAAAGACUACUCUCCUCGAUGUUAUGCUCACAAAUAAUCCUUAUAGGUGUCAGUCUGGGGUUUUCUGUAUAGACCUCAGUGAUCACCGUUUUACAGCCCGUGUUUGUAAUAUCUGCGCGGGGAAACGACCAGUCCUGAUUUGUCAUAGACGCUUGAUAAACUUUUUAAAACCGCUUAAGGAUCCACCCCUUUUUCUUUUUUUUUUUUUUUAAGUUUCGUCUUAAAUGACAUACCCAAAUCUAACUGCCUGUAGCUCAGGCCCUGAAGCAAGGAUACACAUUUUUUUUUUCCUACGCAUUUUCAAUCCCAUAAAGAAAAUGAGAAUUAAAAACAGGUUCAGCCCCUGGUUUGACUGUGAUCUUGCAGAGUCACGCCACCUCAAGAAUUGCAUUUGGCAUAAGGCUCGCCACACGCAUACAGUGGUUGCUCAAAAAGUUCUGCGAUUAUGCUGCGUAACUUAGAGGUAAUUUCUGGUUUAGUAUGGUACCCUGCGUCACUACUUCAUUGCUCCAGACCAGAGCAAGGGGG
rnacentral:lncRNA from 1 species